rnacentral:rRNA from 1 species
GACGAACGCUGGCGGUGUGCUUAACACAUGCAAGUCGAACGGAGUGGUCCUGGUUCUGUGGGGUGCUCGAGUCGCCACCGGGCGAGUAACAGGUGAGUACCCUGCCGUUGACAUAGGGAUAACUUAAGGAAUCUGGGGCUAAUACCGGAUAGGAGCUACUGUUGCAAGGUGGGGGUUGGAAAGCUUGGGGGGUUGGAGAAUGAGCCGCGGCUUAUGCGUGUGUUGGGGGGGGUGUGGCUUAACAAGGCUUCGACCGGUAGCCGGGCUGCGAGGGUGAUCGGGCACAAUGGGGAUGGAGUACCGCCCAGACUCCUACGGGAGGCAGCAGUGGGGGAUAUUGCACAAUGGGCGGAAGCCUGAAGCAACAAAGCCGCGUGCGGGAAAACAGCCUUCGGGUUGUAGUCCGCUUCCGCCUGUGACGGAGCGUGAAUGACAAUAAUGGGUAAAGAAGCACCGGCUAACUACGUG